UACGGAGGGUGCAAGCGUUAUUCGGAAUUACUGGGCGUAAAGCGCUCGUAGGCGGUUUGUUAAGCUAGCUGUGAAAUCCCCGGGCUCAACCUGGGCACUGCAGUUAGAACUGGCAAGCUAGAGUAGGGUAGAGGGGUGUGGAAUUCCAGGUGUAGCGGUGAAAUGCGUAGAUAUCUGGAGGAACAUCAGUGGCGAAGGCGACACCCUGGACUCAUACUGACACUGAGGUGCGAAAGCGUGGGGAGCAAACAGG
rnacentral:rRNA from 1 species